rnacentral:rRNA from 1 species
GACGAACGCUGGCGGCGUGCCUAAUACAUGCAAGUAGAACGCUGAAGGAGGAGCUUGCUUCUCUGGAUGAGUUGCGAACGGGUGAGUAACGCGUAGGUAACCUGCCUGGUAGCGGGGGAUAACUAUUGGAAACGAUAGCUAAUACCGCAUAAUAGCAGUUGUUGCAUGACAACUGUUUGAAAGGUGCAAUUGCACCACUACCAGAUGGACCUGCGUUGUAUUAGCUAGUUGGUGGGGUAACGGCUCACCAAGGCGACGAUACAUAGCCGACCUGAGAGGGUGAUCGGCCACACUGGGACUGAGACACGGCCCAGACUCCUACGGGAGGCAGCAGUAGGGAAUCUUCGGCAAUGGACGGAAGUCUGACCGAGCAACGCCGCGUGAGUGACGAAGGUUUUCGGAUCGUAAAGCUCUGUUGUAAGAGAAGAACGAGUGUGAGAGUGGAAAGUUCACACUGUGACGUUAUCUUACCAGAAAGGGACGGCUAACUACGUG